UUUUCCUCCAACUUAUUAUAAUCAUAACCGGCACAUUUGUGCGUAAAAACUACCCUUUAAACCACAUUAAUACGAACAAUAUACUGCAUGGUGUUUUAUUCAAAAGAAUACACGAAUUUUACAGCUAGAUGGACUUGGAUCGAAGAAGAGUUUUUUUUAGGUAUACUUAAGUACAGUUUUGAACCAGUUUCCGAAACCAUAAUCCGUAUUUAUUGUCUUAUAUGAAAUCCCUAUUUUAGACAACAGAUUCAGAUAUGAGAAUAAAAAAAUAAAAUUAUGUAUAUCGUACAUCCGAAUCUGGUGUCGAAAAUAGGAGAAUUGACAACAAUAAAAUUAAAAUUGUGUAAACAAUGUUAAAAUAACCACCAAGUCUUCCAAAAAGAAAAUGCCAUUUGGAUAAAAGUUCAUCGGGUUAAAAUAUUUCGUGUUAUUGUUUGUGCGAAAAACACCACAGUUUACAGUUU